UCGAGAAUAGUCUACAAUGGUCGAAAGACUGAUAGUGCGACGCCGCGUGAACGAAGAAGCCCUUCGGGGUGUAAAGUUCUUUUAUAUGUGAGCAAUGCCUUUUAUGUGAAUAGCAUGAGAGGAGCGAUAUUAGCAUAUGAAUAAGGAACGGCUAACUCCGUGCCAGCAGCCGCGGUAAUACGGAGGUUCCAAGCGUUGUUCGGAAUUACUGGGCGUAAAGGGAGCGCAGGUGGGCGGUCCAGUCCACAGUGGAAGCCCGGGGCUUAACCCCGGAAGUGCUUUGGAUACUAUCCGUCGUUAGUACGCGAGAGGAAGGCGGAAUUCAGGGUGUAGCGGUGAAAUGCUUAGAUAUGACACAGAACACCGAUUGCGAAGGCAGCUCACUAAACUGUAACUGACGCUGAGGCACGAAAGCGUGGGGAGCAAACA
rnacentral:rRNA from 1 species